AUUGAACGCUGGCGGAAUGCUUUACACAUGCAAGUCGAACGGCAGCACGGACUUCGGUCUGGUGGCGAGUGGCGAACGGGUGAGUAAUGUAUCGGAACGUGCCCAGUCGUGGGGGAUAACGUAGUGAAAAUUACGCUAAUACCGCAUACGAUCUAUGGAUGAAAGCGGGGGAUCGCAAGACCUCGCGCGAUUGGAGCGGCCGAUAUCAGAUUAGGUAGUUGGUGGGGUAAAGGCCCACCAAGCCAACGAUCUGUAGCUGGUCUGAGAGGACGACCAGCGACAUGGGAACUGGGACACGGUCCAGACUCCUACGGGAGGCAGAGGUGGGGAAUUUUGGACAAGGGGCAAAAGCUUGAUCCAGCUAUUCCGAGUGAAGGAUGAAGGCCCGCGGGUUGUAAACUGUUUUUGUACAGAACGAAAAGGUUUCUACUAAUACUGGGAGCUCAUGACGGUACUGAAAGAAUAAGCACCGGCUAACUACGUGCCAGCCGCCGCCGUAA
rnacentral:rRNA from 1 species